rnacentral:rRNA from 1 species
GCUUGUCUCAAAGAUUAAGCCAUGCAUGUCUAAGUAUAAACAACCUUAUACUGUGAAACUGCGAAUGGCUCAUUAAAUCAGUUAUAGUUUAUUUGAUAGUACCUUACUACUUGGAUAACCGUAGUAAUUCUAGAGCUAAUACAUGCAUCAAACCCCGACUUCUGGAAGGGGUGUAUUUAUUAGAUGGAAACCAAUGCGGGGUAACCCGGAAUAUGGUGAUUCAUAAUAACUUUCGGAUCGAUUUAUCGAUGCAUCAUUCAAGUUUCUGCCCUAUCAGCUUUGGAUGGUAGGGUAUUGGCCUACCAUGGCUUUAACGGGUAACGGAGAAUUAGGGUUCGAUUCCGGAGAGGGAGCCUGAGAAACGGCUACCACAUCCAAGGAAGGCAGCAGG